CCUACGGGAGGCUGCAGUAGGGAAUCUUCCACAAUGGGCGCAAGCCUGAUGGAGCAACACCGCGUGAGUGAAGAAGGGUUUCGGCUCGUACAGCUCUGUUGUUGGAGAAGAACGUGCGUGAGAGUAACUGUUCACGCAGUGACGGUAUCCAACCAGAAAGUCACGGCUAACUACGUGCCAGAAUCCGCGGUAAUACGUAGGUGGCAAGCGUUAUCCGGAUUGAUUGGGCGUAAAGCGAGCGCAGGCGGUUGAUUAGGUCUGAUGUGAAAGCCUUCGGCUUAACCGAAGAAGUGCAUCGGAAACCGGGCGACUUGAGUGCAGAAGAGGACAGUGGAACUCCAUGUGUAGCGGUGGAAUGCGUAGAUAUAUGGAAGAACACCAGUGGCGAAGGCGGCUGUCUGGUCUGCAACUGACGCUGAGGCUCGAAAGCAUGGGUAGCGAACAGGAUUAGAUACCCUUGUAGUC
rnacentral:rRNA from 1 species